rnacentral:rRNA from 1 species
GACGAACGCUGGCGGCGUGCUUAACACAUGCAAGUCGAACGGUGCGGCGAACGGGCGAGUAACUCGGUAGUAACUGCCCCCCUCCCUGGGAUAACAGAUGGAAACGGCAGCUAAUACCUGAUAGUGGGGAUAGAAUCGCGUCCUAGAGGCUUGUUGGUUGGGUAGUGGCAUACCAAGGCGACGAAUGGUAGCCGGCCUGAGAGGGGGAGCGGCCACAUUGGGCUGAGAUACGGCCCAAUCUGCUACGGUAGGCAGCAGUGGGGAAUAUUGCCCAAUGGGGGAACUUCUGUGGCAGCAAUCCGCGUGCGGGAUGAUGGCCUGCGGGUUGUGAACCGCUUUCAUCAAUGACGCGGUAGUUGCAGAAAAAGCACCGGCUAACUACGUGCCAGCAGCCGCGGUAAUAC